GCUAGCGUUGCUCGGAAUCACUGGGCGUAAAGGGUGCGUAGGCGGGUCUUUAAGUCAGGGGUGAAAUCCUGGAGCUCAACUCCAGAACUGCCUUUGAUACUGAGGAUCUUGAGUUCGGGAGAGGUGAGUGGAACUGCGAGUGUAGAGGUGAAAUUCGUAGAUAUUCGCAAGAACACCAGUGGCGAAGGCGGCUCACUGGCCCGAUACUGACGCUGAGGCACGAAAGCGUGGGGAGCAAACAGG
rnacentral:rRNA from 1 species